CACCAACCAAGAUCCUUCAGUUUAUUCGUG
rnacentral:piRNA from 1 species